rfam:Brachypodium distachyon strain Bd21 chromosome 5, whole genome shotgun sequence.
UAUAUACUCCCUCCGUCCAACAAAGGAUGUCUCAAGUUUUUCAAAAAUUUGAAUGUAUCUAGACAUGACUUAGUGUAUAGAUACAUUCAAAUUUAAUCAAAGUUGAGACUUGAGACAUCCUUUGUUGGACGGAAGAGUAUCAA